rnacentral:rRNA from 1 species
GAGUGAUCGAAAGAUGAAAAGCACUUUGAAAAGAGAGUUAAACAGCACGUGAAAUUGUUGAAAGGGAAGCGUUUGCGACCAGACUCGCCCGCGGGGUUCAGCCGGCACUCGUGCCGGUGUACUUCCCCGUGGGCGGGCCAGCGUCGGUUUGGGCGGCCGGUCAAAGGCCCUCGGAAUGUAUCACCUCUCGGGGUGUCUUAUAGCCGAGGGUGCAAUGCGGCCUGUCCGGACCGAGGAACGCGCUUCGGCUCGGACGCUGGCGUAAUGGUCGUAAAUGACCC